rnacentral:rRNA from 1 species
CCUACGGGCGGCAGCAGUGAGGAAUAUUGGUCAAUGGACGAGAGUCUGAACCAGCCAAGUAGCGUGAAGGAUGACUGCCCUAUGGGUUGUAAACUUCUUUUAUAAAGGAAUAAAACGAGGCACGUGUGCCUUUUUGCAUGUACUUUAUGAAUAAGGAUCGGCGAACUCCGUGCCAGCAGCCGCGGUAAUACGGAGGAUCCGAGCGUUCUCCGGAUUGAUUGGGUUUAAAGGGAGCGUAGAUGGGUUGUUAAGUCAGUUUUGAAAGUUUGCGGCUCACCCGUAAAAUUGCAAUUGCUACUGGCAGUCUUGAGUACAGUUGCGGUCAGCGCACUUCGUGUUGUAGCGGU